rnacentral:rRNA from 1 species
GCUUGCGGCCACGCCAGCCUGAAUGCGGCCCGAUCUCGUCUGACCUCGGAAGCCAAGCAGUGUCGGGCCUGGUUAGUACCUGGAUGGGAGACCGCCUGGGAAUACCAGGUGCUGUAAGCU